rnacentral:misc_RNA from 1 species
GCAAACUUGGUCAUUUAGAGGAAGUAAAAGUCGUAACAAGGUUUCCGUAGGUGAACCUGCGGAAGGAUCAUCACUGAUUCGGGGGUCGGGACGCGUGGGAGACCACGUUGUACCGCGCCCCAACCAAUCUUGUGUGAACCGUAACGCGCGAGCGCACUGUGGUUGGCGGCAUGGAGGGGAAACCCGCCGCCGCCGCCGCCAUGCGUGCACACAAUUAUCUCCUUACCAAUCUUGUCUAACACAUUACAUUAAAUAACACACAACUUUUAACAAUGGAUCUCUUGGCUCUCGCAUCGAUGAAGAACGCAGC